rnacentral:tRNA from 2 species
UGGCCCGUGGUGUAACGGCAGCACGCGAGGUUCUGGCCCUCGUAGUCUUGGUUCGAAUCCAGGCGGGCCAG